GGGGCUAUAGCUCAGUGGUAGAGCACUUGUGUAGCAUGUGCAAGCCCUGGGUCCAAUCCCCCAGUACCUCCC
rnacentral:tRNA from 1 species